UUCCCAAUUUGGAUAAUCGUACCAAUUGUUAUGAUUUUUCAAAGAAAUUCUGGAAACAAAUGUUUUAAACCUUUGUUUCGAGAACUCGUCAAACAAACACGAGUCAACUCUUGGUUUCAUGUUUCCUUAUGAUAAAUUCAUUGGACUUGGUUUCUCAUAAACUUGAAUCCCUGUUUUCAUCUCUUAUGUAGGUUAUAACUUAUAAAUGCCAAAUUUGCAGUUGAGGCUAAAGUUUAGUUGGUGGCUCUACUGAUAAGGCACCCAAUUUCAGGCACCCGUAGAGAGGCAGAGGCAGUUGAAGCUAACGAUAUUACUUCAAUCAAGUUCCAGAUGUGAAUGUUGUCAGCGGUUUUAAGUUCAAUUUAAUCGGCGAGGCAGUGUUUGGUUUCUUUGGUUGCUACUGUAUAUAGAUUGAUCACUGAUUUAAUUCACUUGUCAACAAUUAAUUAGUUAGGUGCUAAUAUGUAGUAACCAGCUAUCAAUUCAAUUUUUUUUCCUUACAAUUAUUAUUUGGUUUUUGUCAUUAGUAGCAAUAACAAUUGUUUUUCGUUCAUUAUUUGAUUGUUUUGC